CCUACGGGAGGCAGCAGUGGGGAAUAUUGGGCAAUGGGCGCAAGCCUGACCCAGCAACGCCGCGUGAAGGAAGAAGGCUUUCGGGUUGUAAACUUCUUUUGACAGGGAAGAGAAGAAGACGGUACCUGUCGAAUAAGCAAGGGGUAACUCUGUGCAAGCAGCCGCGGUAAUACGGAGGUGGCAGGCGUUGUCCCGAUUUACUGGGUGGAAAGGGCGUGUAGCCGGGCUGACAAGUCAGAUGUGAAAUCCGGGGGCUUAACCACCGAACGGCAUUUGAAAUUGGUGGUCUUGAGUAUUGGAGAGGUAGGCUGAAUUCCUAGUGUAGCGGUGAAAUGCGUAGAUAUUAGGAGGAACACCGGUGGCGAAGGCGGCCUGCUGGACGACAACUGACGGGCAGGCGCGAAAGCGUGGGGAGCAAACAGGAUUAGAUACCCGGGUAGUC
rnacentral:rRNA from 1 species